rnacentral:misc_RNA from 1 species
AAAAAAAGAUUGAAAAAAAAAAAAAGAAAACAAAAAGAGAUCAAAAUUACUAAAAGAUUUUAAUCACAAGAGAGGAUAAAAAGGAUGAAAAUUAAGGAUAAUAAUUUAUAUAAAUAAAAAAAAACAAAAGUAACAUAUAAUAAGAACAAAAUAGAUUAAUGGAUGAAUAGAGACAGGAUUGGAGACGGUAUAGAAAGAGAGAGAGACAGAGAGGGGAGGCUUAGAGAGAGAGAGCUAGCGAGAGAGUGAAAUUCUUUUAUACGUAUAUAUAUAACUUUG